rnacentral:lncRNA from 1 species
ACAACUCUCCAAACACUGACAAAGGCAGCUGAGGACAGCUGAGGACCAGAAGGCUACAUACAGACACCACUGGCCACUUCCCCAAGCAUGCGGGCAUCAACGUAAAUGCUUAUUUAGUACCCUGGUACUAAAGGAGGGUUAAGCCUCCACAGUUGCUAUGGCUGAGAAACAAACCGUCAAGGACCAGGGAGAAAAGGGACAGCAGCAUUUGGUCCUUGCUGUGGUUGUGCAAUGACUCUUGCGGCAUCAAUGCCUCGGAAAAGCAGCAGUGCAGGACAGCAGACAACAGGGACAUCAGCUGCGGAAGGGCAUGAUUUCUGUCAUCCCUGAAUCCAGUGCCUAGAAACGUGGCUGACACAGAGGAAUCCCAGUAGAUGUUUGUCAGACCAACUGACUAUGCACACAGACCUUGGAAAAGCACCUGAGGGCAAGUGAGUGUUCAACAGCACUAGGAUGACUGGCAUUACGGUGCUUCCAAGACCUUGGCUGCCUGUGGGAGUAGCUCCGCUACUCUCAGCCAAUGCCCCUUUAAGGCCGCAGAGUCCCCCAGCCUCCAAAGCCUGCUUAUACCAUUUUCUGUUCUAUCACCUUGCACACUGCCUACAUUAAGCUUUUUGGCAACUAAGAACAACCCUAUGCAUAUAAUUUAGUCUCAGAAGGAAGUGUUGAGACAGGGAAGGACCGGAUGUAGACUACAUGUAUGUGUGUAGAGGCAUGUAGACUCUGAACUCGACACCAGUGACCUUGCUUUUGGUGGUGACAGAAAGUUAUUACCCACUGUGUCAGGAAUUCUGUGAAGUUAUCUCUACACUCUUGGCCUUGCUUUGGGUGGGGUUUCACUAUGUGUAUUAUACGGCACACGCCAAGCCAGCCAGUGUUGACUGUUGCUACCUACAAUAAGGUACUGCCAUACAUAUACGGUGCUGAUUUUGUUAUGAAAGUCAGAUGAAUAAACAAACUGUAAGAUGAUCACCCAGUUUUUGCCCAACCUUACAAUAGAUAUAAAAUAUUGGCACAAGAGUAAAAACUUCUUAUAUAUGCAUAUAUAUAUAUAUAGUCUGUAGUGUCAAUUGAGAUAUAGAACCUUAGGAAUUGCAAAAUCUCACACACCCGAGAAAUCACUUCUUUCUGAGAUGACUUGAGUUCUAAUAUAACUAGUGGCUGUGCUUAUCAUGAAAUGUCACAAACUGAGCACAGGAGAUCCUGUUACCCCACAAGAAACAGACGGACAGCACCUAUGUUUGACAUCAUGCAUGGCAGUUCUGUCAAGCCCUCGGCUGGAGAGGAGGUUCAUCUGAACACACAUACACUCAUGUAUAUGCACACAUCAGAAUGUGUGACAAGCACUGAAGUGCAGCAUAGUGUUAAGGAAUCAAUCUUUUCCUUGGAUCAGCGAGACUGACAUGUUUUGGACAAGCUAGGAGAACCUCCAGCUGAACUAGCACAGUCCUUCUAUUUCCAAUGACGCUCCAGCUAUGUAAAUACAUCAUCCAAAGUCGCGGUAGUCAGAAAGCAGGAAGGAACAGAGCUCCCAUUAGCAGUUCCCACCGUCCACGAAGGGACCAGAACUGUGAUGGAGCACUGACAUUCAUUUCACGUUGAAUUAAACACGGCACUGGCGUGCGUCUCAGGAGACGAUAUUAAGUUCCGUGUUUGGGUAAUACCAGGAAUUCUACAGGCAGGGGCAGAAUUAUAUUUGGUUGGCUAGAAGCCAACCAUACUUUGCACUUGUCCUAGAAGUAGGUGGUCAAAAACUCAGUUCUUGUCAUCAGACCCACUAGCCACAGUUGCUUAAGUGAUCAGGGGAAGGGGGGGUCUCAAACUCUUCUGUGGUACUCAUUUUGAAGAUAAAAUCGACACAGAGACAUCUGGACACGAAGGGGACUUAAUGUGUACUGAGAGAGGUUCAGUUAGAACUGAGCUUGGGAAAAGCAGGUUCAGGCAGACAUCACAACACAGGGACAGAGCAGCAUUGGGUUUCCCACACAGCAUCAUCAGAGACUGAAGACAUACACUGUCACACACACGAACCAUUUUCCUCUUCCAGAAAAGAAAGUCUUAGAAAUCAAGGCAGGGAGGAGGUAUGUUCCCGGCUCUCUCUGCUCUCUUUAAAACACAUGCUGUAAAUUUUCUAGGCUUCACAGUGUGCGUUUCAAAAGAUACCUUCACGUUCGGUGGAGGGAAGAGCCGGACUCUUGGUGCAUCUGGCUUUCCUGUAAUGGUAUAUAAUGCCCCUGUCUAAUAAAUCUAACCACAUUUUUCUUA